UACAGAGGGGGCAAGCGUUGUUCGGAAUUACUGGGCGUAAAGGGCGCGUAGGCGGCCUGCUAAGUCGAACGUGAAAUCCCCGGGCUCAACCUGGGAACGGCAUUUGGGACUGCAAGGCUGGAGUGCGGCAGAGGAGACUGGAAUUCCUGGUGUAGCAGUGAAAUGCGUAGAUAUCAAGAGGAACACCAGUGGCGAAGGCGAGUCCCUGGACGAUACCUGACACUGAGGCACGAAAGCCAAGGGAGCAAACAGG
rnacentral:rRNA from 1 species